rnacentral:ncRNA from 1 species
GUGGUUCGGGAGAGACCGCGCACCUAGCGGCGGCGCCGAAGGGGAAUGCAAAAACUCUCAGGCAAAAGGGCC